CACGCCACGAGGCGUAGAACCGGUUUUUCAAAUCCAGGAAUCGAAAAAUCCUGGCAGUCCUGACGCAGGUAGUACUCAUUGUUAGUAUAACGAGGUCUCCGAAAUUGUGAUUCUUUGAAUCAGACGGACCGCAUCUCGGCAAGCAAAAGGGGCCUUACUCACUUCAAGAGAUUCACUCUGCAGUCACGUGAGGUUCGGACGAGCAUGUGGGUUCGCGAUCACGAAAUUGCCCAAAGCGCUGCAAUAAGCCAUAAAGAUACCAAGCGGAUGCAUCAUCCUGGGUUAUGCUAACGGCAGUUGCGUUAUUCCUUUCCCGGGGGAGACACGUUGCAAUGCAGGAACUCUUCGGUGCAAUCAUCAACAUUUUAUAUGCCAACUACGUGCACGCAGGUGAAAACCAAGCUUACCUCGUCAUUGCUGCAAGGAAGCAGACCUGGUGCAAGUACCCUACCGAGGUACACGGAGACAGGAAAUCAGGAUGAACUGUCAAAACUGGAGUAUGGCAAAGCCAGCAGUGUUUACAGGGCUUAGCGAAGUAGCCCAUUGUUAAGAAGGAUUAAGAUGAUCCCUCCCAGCAGGAAUGGCAGUAGGAGCAAGAGGAAUGGAGGACCGGGGGUGUCUCAAGGACUGCUCACGAAGAAACGUCGAAUGCGGAUACAGGAUGCAGGGAUGCUGUAAAUUGUCCUGUUCUAUGGAUUUUCCUGACUGUGAAAGUCGCGUCAAGCCUCGGCUGCAACGGACGAAUCAGCGCAGCCUGGCAGAUGGAGCUAUCGUAACUAACUGCUGCACCCUGGGGACCUAAUGAAAUAAUUUUAACGUCAACACCACGUGUAUCGAGAUGCGUGGGGUGGCCGUUGCGUCACUUGUACACUCGCGGUACUAUAGCGAACAGAUGGGAUGUGGUAUUUGACUUGGCCAAUUGGCUACCCUGCAUGAGGUCCAUUUGGCUGUCGGAGUCAAAUUCUACCCUUGACGUACAUACAGUGUUGGUAGUUAAAAAAGGGAUUUGGAAUGGAUCCCAGCUCUUCGGACCUAAUAUACCAAUAAUAAUUAUUAAGUGCGAUCUAAGGAACGAGUUAUUUAAAAAAUUUGUAAUACUCGACGCAUUAGGCAGUUAGUACAGUAAGUGUCCUAUUCUAAGAACGUAUUUCGAAAAUUACCGUUUGAUGUCUGUUAGGCGAAGUGGUAACAGGGUUCGUCUUAAUGACUUCUAAUUGAAGGCUCCGACUGUUGUCGCUCGUGCAGUCGAACCAUUGAAAAAUCCUUAGACGUGUAUACUUGCCAAUUAGCAUACUGGCCAAUUACGAGUCUUAAGAGCCGGCACGGAAAUUAUUGCCGAUUACACGAGCCAUUAGCCCUGGCUCCGCAAUCGUCUAAUUUACGCAAAUUGCAAAUCUCGUCUAUCGCGCUUACAUACUAGUAUGCCUCGCGUAUGGCGAAUACAGCCUCCGUCCGGUCCAUACGGCACUGGCAUACAGUACCGGUAAUGCCACGCAAUCGGAGCCGCAAACUAAGAUCUAAUAAAGCGACAAAUCAGCCUAACGACGGCACACGCGUGAUUCCGCACACCGUGCUGUAUCCUACCACCUAUGCCAGCCUGGCAUAAUCUGUCCCAGCGCUGAUUACAUAAGCUAAUGUGCAUCCGUGCAAUGUACCCAGGCAAGGACUGUAUAUAAAUACGUACCGGUACCGAUUAUAGUACCACGUCACUAUAUCCUCUAUUACGUAUACGAAGCUGGAUACGUGACAGCCGGCAUGCGGAAACAGAAAUUUCCAUGUCCAAAUAUUAUUAAAGUUUGCGCUAGAAAUUUUCGUGCGUUACCAGCAGCUCCGGCUGAUCUAGGAAUUUUUAUGUCAUACCAAUUUUUAUUAGAAAAUUAUUAUCACGAUAAGCACGGUCUGUACCGUUACUCGUAUAUGGUUCUUAGAGCCAUUGUUCAAUCCGGCGUGAUUCAAUUGUCAGAUUAAUUGUAUUGUAUUUAUGAUGGCAUUAUGCAACUCGUGGGAUAAGACUUUUCACGGCGUAUGGGCUAAUUGAAACGCCACUGCACACCAGAUAAGCACGAUUGUCCCGGAGAGUUAUGAGAUAAUAUUAUGAGGCCUCGU